GCAAAAGAAAUCUCAAAGAUGCUUUUGUUUUAGUAUGUCAUAGCUUUCAGGGGCGUCAAACAGACGAAACUCAAAUUACCAUCAGUUGCCAUCAUAGUUACAUCUGCUCCGUCUAGUGCUGUUCUGGAAUUUCUUUGUCGUAAAAACUUUCGAGUUUUCCGCCAUGCACGUUUUAAACAAGUCAGCCGAAAAUGGUUGUAUAGGAUAUAUAUAUGUUGUGUGUCCCAUGCGGUGUUGUUUGCAGCCCUUUCUUGUGGAAUUGAUCACUGAAAUUACCAGCAAGGGUUGGACGAAGUUCGACCUGGAAAAGCUACCUUCGAGAAUAAUGGUUGGAUAAUGAAAGUGAAUUAUCCUAAAUCAAGGUAUGGGCUUCUUCGAAGACAUAACGACCAUUCCAUUUUGAUUUUUGUGUAGAAAUUGAAUCCUCUCUUUUUAAAGUUGUAAAAUAUUGUGCCUGAAUGAUUGGUAAGUUAAUAGUUUCUACUGUUUAGCUUCUUAGUGUUUUCUUUUUUAUCUUUUUUUUUGCCCAUAGAACCAAAUUUUCUUCUUUAGUAAAAAAAAAAAGCUACUGCGAGAGAAUACAUAGUGA